rnacentral:tRNA from 2 species
AGCCCCUUAGUAUAGUGGUCAAGUAUAUUGCCCUUUGGAGGCAGUGACGCAGGUUCGAAUCCUGCAGGGGCUA